CCUACGGGAGGCAGCAGUGGGGAAUUUUGGGCAAUGGCCGAAAGGCUGACCCAGCGACGCCGCGUGCGGGAGGACGCCCUUCGGGGUGUAAACCGCUGUCAGAGGGGACGAACGGCCUCGGGGUGAACAGCCCCGGGGAUUGACGGUACCCUCAAAGGAAGCACCGGCUAACUCUGUGCCAGCAGCCGCGGUAAUACAGAGGGUGCGAGCGUUGUUCGGAAUCACUGGGCGUAAAGCGCGCGCAGGCGGACGUUGCAAGUCUGGAGUGAAAUCCCGCCGCUCAACGGCGGGGCUGCUUCGGAGACUGUGCGUCUGGGGACCGGUAGAGGCUGGUAGAAUUGCAGGUGUAGCGGUGGAAUGCGUAGAGAUCUGCAAGAAUACCCGUGGCGAAGGCGGCCAGCUGGGCCGGAUCCGACGCUGAGGCGCGAAAGCGUGGGGAG
rnacentral:rRNA from 1 species